rnacentral:rRNA from 1 species
CCAGACUCCUACGGGAGGCAGCAGUGGGGGAUAUUGCACAAUGGGGGAAACCCUGAUGCAGCGACGCCGCGUGAGUGAAGAAGUAUUUCGGUACGUAAAGCUCUAUCCGCAGGGAAGAAAAACCGGCCUUAGGGCCGCCAGACGGUACCUGACUAAGAAGCCCCGGCUAACUACGUGCCAGCAGCCGCGGUAAUACGUAGGGGGCAAGCGUUAUCCGGAUUCACUGGGUGUAAAGGGAGCGCAGGCGGUACGGCGAGUCUGAUGUGAAAACCCGGGGCCCAACCCCGGGACCGCACCGGAUACUGCCGGACUCGAGUGCCGGAGGGGCAGGCGGAAUUCCUGGUGUAGCGGUGAAAUGCGCAGAUAUCAGGAGGAACACCGGUGGCGAAGGCGGCCUGCUGGACGGUAACUGACGCUGAGGCUCGAAAGCGUGGGGAGCGAACAGGAUUAGAUACCCGAGUA